GGGGCCUGUGCCGUUCCUGGCCACCCUCCUCUGUCAUUGGCCACCACCCUCCUCCCUGGGGUCCCCUGCUCCAAACCUGCCCACCUUCUGCUCCCCAGGUGUUUGAGAGAAGCUCAGUCUCCUCCCUCCCCCCCACACCCUGCCGCCAGCCGAUCCCCACCUUGGUGUCCCCCCAGGACCUGGGGCCCCCCGGGGGCUCAGCCCUGGGCCCUACAUGGAAGGUAACGGGCGACCCACCUCUCACGGCUCUCUGCCUGUGCCUCUACACCUGCCUGUCCGCCUUUCACGCUAACCUGCUGCCACCUGGUCACGCGACCUCCCACCACCCCCACACCAAGGAUGGCACAGAGCUGGGCUGGCCCUGUGGCCCCGAGGGACUCCAGCAGCCGGGGUAUCUGGUGACCCCCAGUCUGCAUUCUCUUGCAGGCCUGGUUCUAGUCCUCUGGGGAGGCCUGAGCACCCUUCCUGUCUACAGCCUGGUUUAGGUCUGGCCUAAGGCCCAAGUGGUGGGGCCAUGAUUGGAGUUUGGAUCUUACUCACAAAAUGACUUAGAGUCUAGUCCAAAAUCUGACUUUAAACCAGGCAUGGUGGUGCAUGGCUGUAAAUCCAGCUACUUAGGAGGCUGAGGCAGGAGAAUCACUUUGAAUUCACUGCCAGCCUGGGCUAGAGUGAGUUUAAGGCCAGCCUAGAGUACAUAGUGAGACUUUGUCUCAAAAAUACAAAAACAAGGGGCUGGGGAUUUAGCUCAGCGGUUCCGAUGCCUGCCUUGCAGGCGAAAGGUCCCAGUUCGAUCCUCGGUACCAAAAAAACAAAAACAAACCUCUGACUUUGAGCUAGGCAUGGUGGCACAGGCCUGUAAUCUGAGCUACACAGGAGGCUGAGGAAGGAGAAUCACAAGUUGAAGCCCAGCCUGGGCAGCUUAGUGAGACCUUGUCUCAACAAAAAGUUUUUUACAAAGGACUGGGAAUGUGGCUCAGUGGUAGCCUGGGUUCAAUUCCCAGGAGCACAAAAAACAGAAUAAUUAAAAACUCUGGCUUUGUUCUGAGCGUUUGCUUAGUCCCUCCCAUGCCCUGCUCCGAGCUGUGCCAAGGGAGGGGCUUUGCUUCCCCACUGCAAUGUGUGCCUCUCCCUGGGGACCGGAACAGCACCCCGGCAGCUCUCCAGCCUCCCAGCACUGCCCCUCUCACCCAGACAGGAGCAAGGAACGGGAGAAACCAGGCCUCUCCUCGGCUGCUGGUUCCGCCUCAGCACUGGAAGUUCUUCCUCCCUCUGACUCCCUGCUGUCCUGCUGCACUUCCUUCCUCCUUAUUCUUUCUUGGGAGUUAGGGGCAGAGCUGCUGUCUGCACCCUCUGAACCGUGUGUUCGAGGGAGGAGGAUGGGGCCAGGGGCGGGACUGAUCUCUCCUCCUCCCUGCUCCGGGACUGGCACACUCGCCUCUCGCGUGAAGUUCCGCCUGGCACAGGGAACUCUGCCUGAAUCCUGGCCUGGCUCGAGUCCCCUCACUUUGGUCCCUGGCAGGGGGCGGGCAGGCAUCAGGUGGUGGGUGGAGCUCUCUGCUGGGUGGGGCUGGGGACCCGCAGUGUGGAAGGGGCACCUCCUGGCUGGCUGUGCUCUCAGCACCUGGCUCCUGCCCUGGCUGGCUCUGGGGAGUGUCUCAAGGGUCCUGGCGGGCAAGGCCCCUUCCCUGGCCUUUGGGCCUGGCUGACUGUCUGCAUCCUGUGGUGCCAUCGGGCAGUGGAGCUGGGCAAGCAUGGCAUUGCCCCCUGCCUUCCCCUUCUGCACCCCACUUCCAGGCCUUCUGCAUUCCCCGGAUCAUCCUGACAGAGUGUGGCCCCUCCUCGCUUGAGGCAGAGAGUGAGGCUCCAGGCCCCUGCCCAGCUCCCACGCCAAGACCCGGACCCUGGUCGGCGCCCCCCAGGCCCUGCCAGAGCUGGUGGCCACAGCCACUGGGCCCAGGAAGGACAGGGGAGCUGGGAAGAGACUGGCUGGAGCCACCUGUUCUUGGGCACCAGCCCCGGCUGGGACUCAGGAGCCCACCACCGCCGAGAGGCCCACGCAGGAGACCCCUGGGGGCUACGGGGGGCAAACCCACUGCGAAGCACGGAGGGACAGCCUGGAGCAGACUCUGCUGGAGCUGGAGGCCACUCUGAGCGAGCUGGGUGCAGCCCCCACCACUGUAGGGCUCCCCAAUGCCCCCUCCACCCCACUCCCCAGACCCCAGGUGGCUGCCUCUCCUGUCCCCCCUCACUGUCCUGCGGUCAAAGUCUCUGGGCCUUCAGAGCGGAGGGAGUCUGGGUUGCAGGGGCGCCGGCCAUCUCUCCCCUCUCCCCACCCUCGAGGGAGCCUGCGGCCAGGCUGGGGCUCUCGGGCAGAGCCCCGGGGAAGGCUGGGAAGCCGGCUCACCCAGGACUCAGCCCUCCCAGCCUGGCAGGAACCCGGCGGGGCCCUCUCCCCUCUCUGCUCUGUACCUGUAAACCCGCAAAUAAAGUUCUCUCCUCCUCUGGCCCCUCGCCCCCCUCCUCCUGUCUCGGACUCUCUCUGUCUCUCAUUUCUCUGUUCAUGGCUCUGGGUCCCCAGAGCCCCUCUGGGCAGGCCUGGUACCUGAGGGGAUACAAAGAGCCAGGCUUCGCUGGGCGUGGUGGUAUGUGCCUGGAAUCCCAGCACACAAGGAGACUGAGGUGGGAACCUCCAAACUUGGAGGGCAACUUAGUCACAGUUUUAAAAGGAGUGGGGUGGGUUUGGGUGGAGUGGGAGGAAUGAAGUUCAGUUCGAAGGCCCUGGUUCAAUCCUCAGUAUGGAAAAACAAAAAAAAAUAAAACAACCAGGCCUGGGGAUUUAGCUCAGUGGUUCCACCGCCGCCUCGAAAACGCAAGGUCCUGAGUUUGAUCCCCGGUACCAAAAAAAAACCAACCAGCCUUGCCUACCUCUGUGGACACCUCACCUGCUCCCCAUAAGGAGGACAGGGUGGGCCUGAGGCUGCCCCUCAAGACCCUCUAGCCCAGGCACAGGAACAGGCAUGGGGCUAGGGAAAUGGGCUGGCGGGGGCACCCUUGUCACCCGGAAGCUGCCAGGGUGCUGGGGCUCAGAGGCUGUCCUGUGGUGUACUGGCCCCCCCAGACCCCAGCUCAGACCCCCCUUGUGUCUUGAUCCCCUUGAGCCUCUGCUCCAACCCAGUUUCUUUCUUUGCAGAGUGGUGGCAGUGGCGUGCGCCCAUGAAGGUGGUGACCCCCGGGGCCUCCAGGCUGAAGACGGCCCAGGGCCAGGCGGGCAGCCCGGACAAAGGCAAACACGGCAAGCAGCGGGCAGAGUACAUGAGGAUCCAGGCCCAGCAGCAGGCCACUAAACCAUCUAAAGAGAUGAGCGGGUCGAAUGAGACCGCCGAGCCCAGUGUCAGAAAAGCCCUCGGCUUCCAGAACCUCCAUUCCCGUAUUGACUUCCUUUGGGGCAAGGAAUUCUUCCAUCUCCUUCUAGAGCCUUCCAGAAGCCCCUCACAUCCCCCCAGCCCGUCCCCUCCUUCCUCCUGCCAUCUCUUCCUAGUCCGCUUCCCUUCAUCUCCCGUACCCCACCCUCUCCGCUAGACCCUUGAGGGUCCCCACCCUGUGGGCCUUCUCAGUCUUCUAUUCUCAUCCCCCCUUGUUGGUGUUUUUGGUUUUUUUUUUUAAUGAUUUACUUUUCAUUAUCUUUUUGUAAAGAGCAGAAUAGUUUAACUAAAAACCAAACACACCACCUCCCCUUGACCUCCUAUUCCCAGCGGCCUCUUCCUGUCAUCGUCUGCCCCUUCUCUCUCUCACGCUCUUCCCCCCAAGUCCAUCCUGCAGCCCCCGACCGGCCCUGUACCCAUCCCCCCGUUCCCCUCACUCCUGAGAAAACUCCAAACAAACUCUGAGCCACGGAGACUUGGAGCGACAAGAGACCCCUCCCCCUUCUCUGUCAUCCCUUCCCGGAGGAGCAGAGGACACGGGCCCACCCCAGCUUCCGGCUGGACCAUGGGAUGAGGGUGACCCUGGUCCUGGAGACGCCCCCACUCCCUGUCUGAGCUGGGACAAGACUGAACGCUGCUGCUACUCUGCUCCUUCCUGUCGUGUCCAGUCCAGCUGUAGGCCAGAAGGACCAGCGGGGACCACAGAGGGACAGAGGCUGAGUCUGAGCGGCCCCAGGCUGGGUGUGUGGCCAUGGUGCCCAGGCCAUGUGUCCCUGGGGAGCCGCUGGCUUGUGGGGAGGAGCUGCGGGUGGUAGCAGAGAAGGAGGGACUGGGGACACUGGCAUGGAGGGUGGCCGUGGGGACAGCCUGCCACUGGGCCACUGCCUCGGGAGAGGGCAGCCUGGGAAGGUGCAUUUGGUACUUUUAGUUUCCUGAUUUAGCACUUUAAAUGCCAUUAACUUAAUGCGUGUGGGUGGGUGACAGGGAAGGGCCAAGGGACUAGGUCUGGAGCCCUGAGGGUGGGAGGGAGAUGGGGAGCCUAGCCGGUGGUUUUGAAGGACAGUGAGGACAGCUCUGACCCCACAGGUGGGGACAAACUGGCCUUCAACAUCUUUUUUGUGACUUGAGAGCUUUCAGGGACGGGGUGGCACGUGGGGAUCUGGUGACUACUGAUGAGAUGUUUGUGGGUCCUGAAGCCUGGAGGAGGGAGGGAAAGGAGGCUUUGGGUCUCCAGUCCUGGGGUCCCCAGGGGUGCAGAGAGGGCCCAGCAGGGAGACAGGGAGGAGGAGGAGGAGGGAGUGGCGUCCCCAGAGGACAGGUUUCCCAUUUGGAGCACAAAGGAAGAGGAAGCACAGGUAGGGGACGUGGGGAUUGUCCCCCCAUAAGCACAGAAAAGAGGAGCCAUGGAAGGGGACAAAGCGGUGUCCCUGGGGGCCUGCUGGGGGGUUGGGGGAGGGAGGGAACUGGGCUAUGUUUCUUCAUUCCUUUGGGAUUAUUUUUGGUUUCUGUUUUUGUUGGUUCAUCCUUGUUUUCUAGCUUCUGACCAUUUUUGUACCAAGGCAAGCGAGCCUUUUUGAAAAAUAACAAAAGAAGAGGAAAAAAAAAAAAUCCCUCCCGGAAAAAAAAACAAAACACAAAAAAACCUAGAAAAUAGGAAAAAAAAAAGGACCUCAUAAAUGAUGCAAUUACUUUUAAUUGCAGGCAACUCUUUACAUUUAAGUGAAGUGUCUUAACAUUUUAUAUUGUUUUAAAAAUAUAUUUACAUAUUAUAUAUAUAAUAUACGUAAUAUAAAUAUAUAUAAAUAUUUAAAAAAGAAAAAAAAAGGAACCCACGGCCCUCUUCCCUGGCCGCUGUCGCGGCAGGGGCGGGGCCUGGGGACAGCAGAGGCGGGGCUGGCUCUGGUCGGGGAGGCGCUGGUUAGGUCCGGGGUACAGGGAUCCGGGCCUGGGAGGGGAGGGGGAGUGGUGCCCCCUCCUCCCUCCGCUCCAUUACUCUGCUUGCUACUCUGCUCGCCCCAGCACCUCAGCCCUUUGACCUGACCGCACCCCGCUGUCAUUGUCCUGAGUUGAUGUCCCUUGUGGGGGGAGGGGGCGUCCAUCCAAGUGGGGCAGAUGGAGGGCCCACCCCACCCCACCACCCCAGUAGAGUCUAGGGGGACCCGCAUUUUUCUCGCUUUAGUUCCUGAGCACGAAUGGGCUGGGAGGUACUUGCUUGGGACUGUGUGCAGUCUGGGUGUGUGCGGGUGUGCACCGGCACGAGGCCGCUCAGCUGUGCGUGCAAACGCAUGAGGUGUGCGUGCACAGGCAUGGCCUGUCGUGUGUGGGGGAGGGGAGACGUGAGCCCGAAGGCGCGUGUGAGCUGCGAGGGCACUGGCGUGUGCCUGCCUGCGUGUGCCUGUGGGGGGAGCUCUGCGCGUGCGAACACGUGUUGUGUGUGUGCGGACGUGCCUGGCUUCCAGAGAGUCGUCACGUGGGGACCACAAGCGCGUGGUUAGAG
ensembl:lncRNA